UUGCUCGCUGCCCUCAAGUUUCUCUGAGAUGAACUAAUGAAUUGGAAUCAUGGUGCAAAAGAAGAAGUUCUGCCCUCGGUUACUUGACUAUCUGGUGAUCGUAGGGGCCAGGCACCCGAGCAGUGACAGUGUAGCUCAGACUCCUGAACUGCUACGGCGAUACCCAUUAGAAGAUCAUGCUGAGUUUCCGCUGCCCCCAGACGUCGUGUUCUUCUGCCAGCCUGAGGGCUGUCUGAGUGUGCGGCAGCGUCGCAUGACCCUUCGGGAUGAUACCUCUUUUGUCUUCACCCUCACUGACAAGGACACUGGAGUCACACGUUAUGGCAUCUGUGUUAACUUUUACCGCUCCUUCCAGAAGCGAAUGCCUAAGGAAAAGGGGGAUGGUGGGGCAGGGUCCCGUGGGAAGGAAGGGACCCGUGCCACCCGUGCCUCAGAAGAGGUUGGCACUGAAAGUUCAGAGAGUGGCUCAUCCCUGCAGCCUCCUACUGCUGACUCCACCCCCGAUGUGAACCAUUCUCCUCGGGGCAAACGCCGGGCCAAAGGGGGCAGUCGGUCCCGCAACAGUACUCUGACAUCCCUGUGUGUGCUCAGCCACUACUCUUUCUUCUCCACCUUCCGAGAGUGUCUGUAUACCCUCAAACGGCUGGUAGACUGCUGUAGUGAACGGCUGCUAGGCAAGAAACUGGGCAUCCCUCGAGGUGUACAGAGGGACACCAUGUGGAGGAUUUUCACAGGAUCACUGCUAGUGGAGGAGAAGUCAAGUGCCCUUCUGCAUGACCUUCGAGAGAUUGAGGCCUGGAUCUAUCGAUUGCUGCGCUCCCCAGUCCCCGUCUCUGGGCAGAAGAGAGUAGACAUUGAGGUCCUGCCCCAGGACCUCCAGCCGGCUCUGACCUUUGCUCUUCCAGACCCCUCUCGAUUCACCCUAGUAGAUUUCCCACUUCACCUUCCCUUGGAACUUCUGGGUGUGGAUGCUUGUCUUCAGGUGCUAACCUGCAUCCUGCUAGAGCACAAGGUGGUGCUACAGUCCCGAGACUAUAACGCACUUUCUAUGUCUGUGAUGGCAUUUGUGGCGAUGAUUUACCCCCUGGAGUACAUGUUUCCUGUCAUUCCACUGCUUCCCACCUGCAUGGCAUCAGCAGAGCAGCUGCUGUUGGCUCCAACUCCGUACAUCAUUGGGGUCCCUGCCAGCUUCUUCCUCUACAAACUAGACUUCAAAAUGCCUGAUGAUGUGUGGCUAGUGGAUCUGGACAGCAAUAGGGUGAUUGCCCCAACUAAUGCAGAAAUGCUACCCAUCCUGCCAGAACCAGAAUCAUUAGAACUGAAAAAACAUUUAAAGCAGGCCUUAGCUAGCAUGAGUCUCAACACUCAGCCCAUUCUCAAUCUGGAGAAAUUUCAUGAGGGCCAAGAGAUCCCACUUCUCUUGGGAAGGCCUUCUAAUGACCUGCAGUCCACCCCUUCUACUGAAUUCAAUCCACUCAUCUAUGGCAAUGAUGUGGAUUCAGUGGAUGUUGCAACUAGAGUGGCCAUGGUACGUUUCUUCAACUCCGCUAAUGUGCUACAGGGCUUUCAAAUGCACACGCGUACCUUGAGACUCUUCCCUCGGCCUGUGGUAGCUUUCCAGGCUGGCUCCUUUCUAGCCUCGCGUCCCCGGCAAACUCCUUUUGCUGAAAAACUGGCCAGGACUCAGGCUGUGGAGUACUUUGGAGAAUGGAUUCUUAACCCCACCAACUAUGCCUUUCAGCGAAUUCAUAACAAUAUGUUUGAUCCAGCCCUGAUUGGUGACAAGCCAAAGUGGUACGCUCACCAGCUGCAGCCCAUCCACUAUCGAGUCUAUGAUAGCAAUUCUCAGCUGGCGGAGGCUUUGAGUAUACCACCAGAGCGUGACUCUGACUCUGACCCCACUGAUGACAGUGGCAGUGAUAGUAUGGAUUAUGAUGACUCAAGCUCUUCUUAUUCCUCCCUUGGUGACUUUGUCAGUGAAAUGAUGAAAUGUGACAUCAAUGGUGACACUCCCAAUGUGGACCCUCUGACGCACGCGGCACUGGGGGAUGCCAGUGAGGUGAAGAUUGAUGAGCUGCAGAACCAGAAGGAAACAGAGGAGCCUGGCCUGGACAGUGAGAACCCUCAGGAAAACCCUCCACUGCGCUCUAUCUCCAGCACCACUGCCAGCAGCAGCCCUAGCACUGUCAUCCAUGGAGCUGCUUCUGAACCUUCUGACUCAAUGGAGAUGGAUGAUAAGGCAGCAGUAGGCGACUCCAAGCCUCUCCCUCCUGUGCUUCCCAGCAGUGGCAAAUCGAACAUGGACAGGCAUCAGACAGAGAUCGGAGAGGGGUCAGUGCGCCGGCGAACCUAUGACAAUCCAUACUUCGAGCCCCAAUAUGGCUUUCCCCCUGAGGAAGAUGAUGAUGAGCAGGGGGAAAGCUACACUCCCCGAUUCAGCCAACAUGUCAAUGGCAAUCGGGCUCAAAAGCUGCUGCGGCCCAACAGCUUGAAACUGGCAAGUGACUCAGAUGCAGAGUCAGACUCCCGAGCAAGCUCUCCCAACUCCACCGUCUCCAACAACAGCACCGAGGGCUUCGGGGGCAUCAUGUCUUUUGCCAGCAGCCUCUAUCGGAACCACAGCACGAGCUUUAGUCUUUCAAACCUCACACUGCCAACCAAAGGUGCCCGGGAGAAGACCACUCCAUUUCCCAGUCUGAAAGUAUUUGGGCUAAAUACUCUAAUGGAGAUUGUUACUGAAGCCGGCCCUGGGAGUGGUGAAGGAAACAGGAGGGCCUUAGUGGACCAGAAGUCAUCUGUCAUUAAACACAGCCCAACAGUAAAAAGGGAACCUCCAUCACCCCAGGGCCGAUCCAGCAAUUCUAGUGAGAAUCAGCAGUUCCUGAAGGAAGUGGUGCACAGCGUGCUGGAUGGCCAGGGAGUGGGCUGGCUCAACAUGAAAAAGGUGCGCCGGCUACUGGAGAGCGAGCAGCUGCGAGUCUUUGUCCUGAGCAAGCUGAACCGCACAGUACAGUCAGAGGAUGAUGCCCGGCAGGAAGUCAUCCCAGAUGUGGAGAUCAGUCGAAAGGUGUACAAGGGAAUGUUAGACCUCCUCAAGUGCACAGUCCUCAGUCUGGAGCAGUCCUAUGCCCAUGCAGGUCUGGGUGGCAUGGCCAGCAUCUUCGGGCUCCUGGAGAUUGCCCAGACCCACUACUAUAGUAAAGAACCAGACAAGCGGAAGAGAAGUCCAACAGAAAGUAUAAAUACCCCAGUUGGCAAGGAUCUUGGUCCAGCUGGGCGGGGGGACCCAAAGGCUAUGGCACAGCUGAAAGUCCCCCAGCUAGGUCCUCGGGCACCAAAUGCUACAGGAAAGGGUCCUAAGGAACUGGACUCCAGAAGUUUAAAGGAAGAGAAUUUUGUAGCAUCUAUUGGGCCAGAAGUAGUCAAACCUGCCUUUGAUCUUGGUGAGACAGAGGAGAAAAAGUCACAGAUCAGCGCAGACAGUGGUGUGAGCCUGACAUCUGCUUCCCAGAGGACUGAUCGUGACUCUGUCAUUGGAGUGAGUCCAGCUGUUAUGAUUCGCAGUUCAAGUCAGGAUUCUGAAGUUAGCACCGUGGUAAGUAAUAGUUCUGGAGAGACCCUUGGAGCAGACAGUGACCUGAGCAGCAAUGCAGGUGAUGGACCAGGUGGCGAAGGCAGUGCCCAUUUGGCAGGUUCUCGGGGCACUUUGUCUGAUAGUGAAAUUGAGACCAACUCUGCCACAAGCACCAUCUUUGGUAAAGCCCACAGCUUGAAGCCAAAGGAGAAGUUGGCAGGCAGCCCAGUUCGCUCUUCUGAAGAUGUAAGCCAGCGAGUCUAUCUCUAUGAAGGACUCCUAGGAAGGGACAAAGGAUCGAUGUGGGACCAGUUAGAGGAUGCUGCUAUGGAGACCUUUUCUAUAAGCAAAGAGCGUUCUACUUUAUGGGAUCAAAUGCAGUUCUGGGAAGAUGCGUUCUUAGAUGCUGUGAUGUUGGAGAGAGAAGGAAUGGGUAUGGACCAGGGUCCCCAGGAAAUGAUUGACAGGUACCUGUCCUUGGGAGAACAUGACCGGAAGCGCCUGGAGGAUGAUGAAGAUCGCUUGCUGGCCACACUUUUGCACAACCUCAUCUCCUACAUGCUGCUGAUGAAGGUGAAUAAGAAUGACAUCCGAAAGAAGGUGCGGCGUCUAAUGGGAAAGUCCCACAUUGGACUUGUGUACAGCCAGCAAAUCAAUGAGGUGCUUGAUCAGUUGGCAAACCUGCAUGGACGUGAUCUCUCCAUCCGGUCCAGUGGCAGCCGGCACAUGAAGAAGCAAACAUUUGUGGUACAUGCGGGAACAGACACAAAUGGAGAUAUCUUUUUCAUGGAGGUAUGCGAUGACUGUGUGGUGUUGCGUAGUAACAUCGGGACAGUGUAUGAGCGCUGGUGGUAUGAAAAGCUCAUCAACAUGACCUACUGUCCCAAGACCAAGGUCUUGUGCUUGUGGCGUAGAAAUGGAUCUGAGACCCAGCUCAACAAGUUCUAUACUAAGAAGUGUCGGGAGCUGUACUACUGUGUGAAGGAUAGCAUGGAGCGGGCUGCCGCCCGACAGCAAAGCAUCAAGCCUGGGCCUGAACUAGGUGGAGAGUUCCCUGUGCAGGACAUGAAGACUGGAGAGGGUGGCUUGCUGCAGGUCACCCUGGAAGGGAUCAAUCUCAAGUUCAUGCACAACCAGGUUUUCAUAGAGCUGAAUCACAUUAAAAAGUGCAAUACAGUUCGAGGCGUCUUUGUCCUGGAGGAAUUUGGUAAUUACACUAUUUUGCUCUUAGGUCUGGACUCACUUGGCAGUAACUCAAACCUUGGAGCUCCAGAGGAGGGACUAGGGGCAGGGAAAGAAAAAAAAAGAAGAACCUUUACAAAGAGGCCAGGAGGAGCAGGAGCAACAGGGAGGAAUACCUGAGAAGAGAGAAGGGAAGGAGCAGGACAAGACACAAUGAGCAUACCACAGCCAGGGGCCUUAGAUGGGUUUAGAGUUUAGAAAUAGUACUGACGAGGCUCAGUAAAGUAGUACCACCUUCCCUUGCUCAGCCAGCCAGUGGUCAGAAAGUUCUGGGGCAGAGCAGACUGGCAAUCCCCAAACUCUGCUAUGUCUGUCGCCUGCUGCCAUUUCUCUAGCAGCCCAACACUCCACCCAGCCUCCCUGAUGCCGCUCUAGGCUCUGCCUGGCCUCUAUGCUAGAAGAGGGCAUGGGGCGUCAUAGCAGACUCACUGGAGGCCAGAGAAGCCUAGUGAACCUCAGAGGCAGAAGGGCAGGUAUAGCCGGAAGCUGGAGCCAACCUUCCCAGCAAGUGCAAGGAGUGACAUAGUGGGGUCUCACCCUGGGGCUUUGAGUUCCUGCUGUGUUUGUGCUUCAUUCUUUUGUACCCCUCAUCGCUGCUAUGAAAACCUUCGUUCUCCAGCAGGUAAAGUGACCUCGGCACCACACUGCUCGUGCUGCCUCUCCCCCAGGCCCUUGCCUUGGGCCCCGCCAUGGGUGGGUGGGGACUCCCUUCAACCAACCAGUGGCUCACAUCCUUUCUCUCCCCAUCCCCUUCCUUCCCAAAAUCCCCCAUCCUUGUGCUGGCUCACUGUUUCCAACUUUUCUCCCCCAUGUGCUCCCUUCUGUCUUCUGCCAGAGAGAUAUUUGGGGGACUGUUUCAACUCAGGAGAAUGAAUGACCUGGGGCAUCUUACUCUACCUUGAUAAGUUUAUUCUCGUUAACCCUGGGUUCCCCUGAAUUCUACCUCUCAAGGUCAGAAGAAGGUGUGGCCAACUGUCAUCCUACUUUUUUCUGGCCCCCAGGGAACGCCAUACUCUUCUCAGGCUCCUAGGGGCACACUGAUGGCUGGGAGGCCCUGUUCCUUUCUCUGGCUGGGCAGAGCCACUGCAUGGCUGGGCAAGGGCGACUCCUAGUCUUGCAUUCUGGGCUGUGAACAUGUGUGUAUUUGCCUGAUGCUCCCCAUCACCUCCCUCCCUGGGUGCUGUACUUGCCUGUCUUUCCUGCUCGGUGUGUCUGCUCCAGAGCCCUCUGACGCUCUCCCUCACACAGGCAGGCCUGGGCUUCUCCUGCCACUCAGGGAAGGACACUCAAGUCUGAUGGGUUUAGUAUCAUGUUACUUUUUUAUCCAGCCUCACAACCCCCUUUGUAGGGGCUGGAGGUGAAGGGAACCAUAUGUAACCUGACUGGACUUGUGGGCUGGUGACAGGGAUGAGUUCACAGGCAUCUCAGCAAGGUGAGGCACAGGCUAGAGACCACUCUCUUCCCCACUGCAACUCCUCAAGGGCCCUGAACAGUAACUGUGGCCAGGCUGGAGAAAGUCCAGCCCUUCUCACCCUGGGGCUUUCAAAGAAGCAGGUACAGUCACAACCAUCAAGUUAAGAGCCACUGCAGACUUCAGAGGUCUAAAUGAGAAGUCUGGCUGGACAGACAGAGGAGUCUGGCUGGACAGGCUGGCCUCUGCCCUGUCAUAGCCUAAGCUGCUGCAGCCACUGUGAGAGGCCACAGAGGGGAAGGGGACCCUGGUGCCAGGCGCUGCCACCUGGGGCAGCAUGGCACUGUCGCUCUUAGUUUUGAACUUUCUGUUUUGUCUCUUGCCCGUCCGGUUUUAGUUCCUGAAAUUAAAGAAGUGGUGAGCCACAAGUACAAGACACCAAUGGCACAUGAGAUCUGCUACUCUGUGUUGUGUCUCUUCUCGUAUGUGGCUGCAGUUCGUAGCAGUGA